AAAACACUAUAAAGGGACAAAGUGAUGUCAUAGUGAUGUCACAUCAUGUGCUUCCCCAUUAAAACUUUCACAGUUUCCUUCUGCAUUUAUGUCAUAUAGUCUAGUGAAGCCAAAGAACUAACAUGAUUAUACUAAUAAUCAUCAAACUGAUAAUUCUGCAGCAUUUUUCAGAAUCCAGUGAUGUUACACAGACACCAGUAUUAUGGGUUCAACAGGGUGAAUUUGCACAAAUGAACUGCAGUCAUACUAUGGGUGCAGGCUAUAACUACAUGUAUUGGUUUCAACAACGAAAGGGAGAAACAAUGAGACUCAUUGCCUCCAUUAUAACAGGCAGCAAUCCAGAUUUUGGUGAAUUUUCUGAUGAUAAAUACUCAGCUGAAAAGACUGUAGCUGAUAAAGGGUCUUUCACAGUGAAGAAGCUGCAGCCCGAUGACAGUGGUGUGUAUUUCUGUGCAGUGAGUGAGCACAGUGACGCAUACCUAUUGUGCUGCUGUACAAAAACCUUAACUUCCUUAAUGACUUGUGGUGCAUAAAAAUAUAUUUUUUAAUCUAAAGUGACAUUUUUUUAACAGACAUUUCUUCUCAUGCAGUCUGUAUUUAUGACAUUUUGUAAUCUAGACAGAGAACUAAUAUGAUAACAAUAAUAUUCUUUAAAUUGACAAUACUGCAACGUAGUAUGUUGCAUGCAAACAGCCUUCAAAUAAUCUUCAAAAAACAUGAAUCAAUCAAUCAAUAAGUAUUGGAACAGUAAAAACAAAAUUGUUCUGUUUGCUGUGGAGUCAAGGAAUCUGUAAAUAUGAUUAAAAGAUGAAUAUGAGACAAAACUACAGAAUGUCACAUUUUAUUAUUGGGUGAUUCAACACAAAGAUGUUUUACCAGCUAAGAAGAUCAGCACUUUUAGAGUUUCAUCUCCCUAUCUGAUGUGAGCAAUUCUAAGUCUUGCAUUCGAUGAUGACACACUCAAACCAGGAUGAAGACGAGGAAGCCAACUCUGAAAGAAAAGCAAGCAAUUUGGAUGCUAAAAGAAAAUAGGAAGUCAAUUAGAACUAUAGGAAAAACAAAGGGCAUGGAGAAAUUAAGAGUUUGGAAACUUCUGGCAACAUCAGCAACCAACGACGACCUGAUCGGCUGAGAAAAACAACAGUAAUUGAGGACAGACAAAUCAAAGCUGUGAAAAUGAACCCUAAAAUACAUGUCUGUAAAAUCACCAACAACCUCCAGAAAGCUGGGGUGAUGCUCUGUCAAACUACAGUCCUCAGGAGAAUUUGACACAGAAUUACAGAAGCUACACAGCAAGAUACAAACCUCUGAUCAGUACCAAAAAAAUAGAAAGGCAAGAUUCUUCACAAAUGUAAGCCAGUAGAGUUUUGGAACUGAGUUGAUGGACCGAUGAGACAAAGAUUAACCUUAAUCUAAGUGACUGGAAAGCAAAAGUGUGGAGAAAAAAAGGAACUGGAAAUGAUCCUAAGCAUACAACCUCAUCUGUAAAGCUUAGUGGGGGUGGCGUCAUGGCAUGGGCAGCAUGGCUGUCUCUAGAACAGGACCUCUUCAUUUUAAUUAUGACUUAAUGUAUGAUGGCAGUAGCAGAAUGAAUUUGGAAGGGUACAAAAUCAUCUUGGCUACCAAUAUUCAAGAAAAUGCCACCAAACUCUUUUAUCAGGGCAAAGAAAUGUAAAGUCUUAGAUUGCCCAAAUCAAUCUCCAGAUUUAAAUCCGAUUGAACAUUAAUUUUACCAGCUGAAGAGGAGACUAAAGACAGAAACUCCCCAAAACAAGCAACAGUUGG
rnacentral:lncRNA from 1 species